rnacentral:rRNA from 1 species
CGGACGCGGUAAAUCGUGCUAAGGUAGCUGAAUUCUGGCCCAUUAAAUGUGGGUCUUAGUGAAUGGUUUGACGAGUCCUCGACUGUCUCAAGGUUGUUUUUUUGAAAUUGAAUUAAAUGUGCAAAUGCAUUUAUAGGGAAGAAAGACGAGAAGACCCCGUGAAGUUAGAAAUAGUUAUCUACAGCGUUAAUCCUUCAUUUUAUUUUAGGUUGAAUCUAGAUCUCCCCUUUCAGGGUUUAGGUUCAACCCGCAGGAGGAGGGUGGGUUCGUGUUUUGGCUGGGGCAGCAAGGGGGCAAAACUAGACCUUUCUUGGGUUAAGCAGACGGUUGCGUUGAGUGACCCACAGAAUGGAAAAGUGUGAUUAGCAGAAGAAGUUACUCCGGGGAUAACAGCGUUAUCCGCCUUGAUAGUCCGUAUAGACGGGCGGGUUUGCGACCUCGAUGUUGGUUCAGGAUAUCCUAAGGCUUGCAGGAGGUCUUAAAGGUUGGUUUGUUCGCCCAUUAAAAUCCGACGUGAUCUGAGUUCAGACCGGA